rnacentral:rRNA from 1 species
AGACCCGAUAGCCGACCCAAGUCCCCGUGAGGGAAAGAUGAAAAAGAAACUUUGAAAAGAGAGUUAAAGAGUACCUGAAACCUGCUGAAAGGGAACCGAAUCGUUUCCAGUGUCUAUAAUCCGUGGUAUAUUUCAUUGGCGAGUGUGUGCGUGCGUGUGCUGUGGCAGCGGCUUUUUAGGCUGCGCUCGGCGUGUGUGCUGUGUGUGCUUGCUGGUGCCCUGUACUGCGGUGGGACGUCAAGGUCAGUUCGUAUGCUGCGGGAAAUGGCUGCCGAGGAGGUAGGGCUUACGCUUGCGUUUGUCUGUUAUAUCUUGGUGGACGAGUAGUCGCGGUUGGGACUGAGGUGCCUACAACGUGCUUUUGAGUGGGUUUGUGUCUCCGUGUGCGCCGUGUGCGGAUAGCUUGCUAUGCGUGUGUGGUUGUGUGUGGAUUGAUGCGGGCUUUAACUUGUUGCCGUUCGGGACGUUGACGAAAUGGGAGCGAUUCGACCCGUCUUGGAAACACGGACCAAGGA